UGCCAGCCGCCGCGGUAAGACGGAGGGGGCUAGCGUCGUUCGGAAUUACUGGGCGUAAAGCGCACGUAGGCGGACUAUUAAGUCAGGGGUGAAAUCCCGGGGCUCAGCCCCGGAACUGCCUCUGAUACUGGUAGUCUUGAGUUCGAGAGAGGUGAGUGGAAUUCCGAGUGUAGAGGUGAAAUUCGUAGAUAUUCGGAAGAACACCAGUGGCGAAUGCGACUCACUGGCACAUUUCUGACGCUGAGGCGCGAAAGCGUGGGGAGCAAACAGGAUUAGAUA
rnacentral:rRNA from 1 species